UUAGUGGCGGACGGGUGUCGUAACGCGUGAGAAUCUGCCCCAAAGAGGGGGAUAGCAAAUUGUAAAGAUCUGUUAAUACCCCAUAUGCGCAUGUCGUGAAAUGGGAAACCGCUUUGGGAUGAGCUCGCGUCUGAUUAGCUAGUUGGUGGGGUAAAAGCCUACCAAGGCAACGAUCAGUANCUGGUCUGAGAGGAUGAUCAGCCACACUGGAACUGAGAACGGUCCAGACUCCUACGGGAGGCAGCAGUGGGAAUUUUCCGCAAUGGGCGCAAGCCUGACGGAGCAAUGCCACGUGGAGGAUGAAAGCCCAUGGGUCGUAAACUCCUUUUCUCAGAAAAGAAAUUUGACGGUAUCUGAGGAAUAAGCAUCGGCUAACUCCGUGCCAGCAGCCGCGGUAAGACGGAGGAUGCAAGCGUUAUCCGGAAUCAUUGGGCGUAAAGCGUUCGUAGGUGGUCCUGCAAGUCUGCUGUUAAAUCCGAGGGCUUAACCCUCGUUCGGCGGUGGAAACUACAGGACUAGAGGACGGUAGGGGCAGAGGGAAUUCCCGCUGUAGCGGUGAAAUGCGUAGAGCUCGGGAAGAACUCCGAUGGCGAAAGCACUCUGCUGGGCCGUCCUGACACUCAUGGACGAAAGCUAAGGGACCCGUAACGAUGGAUAC
rnacentral:rRNA from 1 species